rnacentral:tRNA from 1 species
GGUGGGGUACCGAAGUGGCCAAACGGAGCAGACUGUAAAUCUGCCGGCUUAACGCCUUCGAAGGUUCGAAUCCUUCCCCCACCACCA